ACACUGCGCACUCUCCUCUCCUAACACAGUGUUUCUGCCCAAAGUCCACCGCUCAGCACCAUGCCUGUCGACUUCAAUGGGAGAUGGGUGAUGGAGACCAACGACAACUUUGAGGACUUCAUGAAAGUACUGAACAUUGAUUUGGCCACACGCAAGAUUGCCAUCCACCUCUCUCAGACCAAGGUCAUUAUCCAGGACGGGGACAAGUUUGUGAUGAAGACCCUCAGCAUCUUCCGGAAUUACGAGAUGAGCUUCACGAUCGGAGAGGAGAUUGAGGAGUACACUAAGGGCCUUGACAACCGGGUGGUUAAGGCCUGUCUCAACAGACCCUGAUCACCUGGGAGGGCGAUAAAUUGGUGUGCACACAAAGAGGUGAGAAGGCCAACCGCGGAUGGAAGCACUGGAUAGAGGGAGAUAAACUACACUUGGAGCUGUUUUGUGAAGGAGUUGUUUGUCAUCAAGUGUUUAAGAAACAAGCUUAGUGGUCGCACUCCAUGGUCACUGGAAAAUAACUGUAUUGACCCUUUUUAUCAAUAAAGAAACCACUGAAUAGAGCCUUAAA